UACAGAGGGUGCGAGCGUUAAUCGGAAUUACUGGGCGUAAAGCGCGCGUAGGCGGCUUUGCAAGCCGGAUGUGAAAUCCCCGGGCUUAACCUGGGAAUGGCAUUCGGGACUGCAAGGCUGGAGUGCGGCAGAGGAGACUGGAAUUCCUGGUGUAGCAGUGAAAUGCGUAGAUAUCAGGAGGAACACCGAUGGCGAAGGCAGGUCUCUGGGCUGACACUGACGCUCAUGCACGAAAGCGUGGGGAGCAAACAGG
rnacentral:rRNA from 1 species